rnacentral:rRNA from 1 species
GACGAACGCUGGCGGCGUGCUUAACACAUGCAAGUCGAACGCUGAAGCACCAGCUUGCUGGUGUGGAUGAGUGGCGAACGGGUGAGUAAUACGUGAGUAACCUGCCCUUGACUCUGGGAUAAGCCCGGGAAACUGGGUCUAAUACUGGAUGCUACAUGUCACCGCGUGGUGGUGUGUGGAAAGGGUUUACUGGUCUUGGAUGGGCUCACGGCCUAUCAGCUUGUUGGUGAGGUAAUGGCUCACCAAGGCGACGACGGGUAGCCGGCCUGAGAGGGUGACCGGCCACACUGGGACUGAGACACGGCCCAGACUCCUACGGGAGGCAGCAGUGGGGAAUAUUGCACAAUGGGCGAAAGCCUGAUGCAGCGACGCCGCGUGAGGGAUGACGGCCUUCGGGUUGUAAACCUCUUUCAGCAGGGAAGAAGCCACAAGUGACAGUACCUGCAGAAGAAGCGCCGGCUAACUACGUG